AAAAGUCAGAAAGUCCCCUUCAUAAGUUUACGGGCGAGGACUCACCAGGGUAUCUAAUCCUGUUUGAUCCCCACGCUUUCGUGCCUCAGCGUCAAUUUAACCAUAGUAAGCUGCCUUCGCAAUCGGUGUUCUGUGACAUAUCUAUGCAUUUCACCGCUACUUGUCACAUUCCGCCUACCUCUAGUUCAUUCAAGCUCUUCAGUAUCAAGGGCACUGCGAUGGUUGAGCCACCGUCUUUCACCCCUGACUUAAAAAGCCGCCUACGCACCCUUUAAACCCAAUAAAUCCGGAUAACGCUUGGAUCCUCCGUAUUACCGCGGCUGCUGGCACGGAGUUAGCCGAUCCUUAUUCCUUCGGUACAUUCAGCUAUCUACACGUAGAUAGGUUUAUUCCCGAAUAAAAGCAGUUUACGACCCAGAGGGCUGUCUUCCUGCACGCGGCAUGGCUGGUUCAGAGUUGCCUCCAUUGACCAAUAUUCCUUACUGCUGCCUCCCGUAGGAGUCUGGUCCGUGUCUCAGUACCAGUGUGGGGGGUCAUCCUCUCAGAUCCCCUAGACAUCGUGGUCUUGGUGGGCCGUUACCCCGCCAACUAACUAAUGUCACGCAUGCCCAUCUUAAUCCUAUAAAUAUUUGAUCAUUGUACAAUGCUGUACUGUGAUUUUAUGCGGUGUUAAUCCCGAAUUUCUUCGGGCUAUCCCCCUGAUUAAGGUAGGUUGCAUACGCGUUACGCACCCGUGCGCCACUUUCCUCCUCUAGCAAGCUAAAGAGUAUCGUUCGACUUGCAUGUAUUAGGCCUGCCGCUAGCGUUCAUCCUGAGCAGAGGAAUCAAACUCCAAC
rnacentral:rRNA from 1 species